rnacentral:lncRNA from 1 species
UCAAGUCUUCAGAGCUAGGAUGGAACUGAUAUUCUUCUUUCUGCAUAUCAAAUGUAGCCUUUGAUCGAUGGCAUCGCCUGCAGCACCAGCGGAGUUCACUCAGGAAGCUACUCGUCAGUCUCUCAUUGAGAUCUCCCAGUCCCUCCCGGAGAAACCUUCACCCCAGAAUCUGGAGGUGAAAUCACCGAGGUCGCGUGCAGCAAACGAGAAUCAUGAAGAUGGAGCAGAUAACUACAGAUCAAAGCUAAUCUCGAUCUCGUACCUGUCUCCUGAUGCUCAACCGACACCGUGCCCUCCCAAGAAUGUUGUCACUUAAUUAAUUGUGAUGUUCGUACCCCUGCAUAUGUGGACAUAAUAUCAGUGUUUUACUUCACUCGACCUUUUAGCUGGAAAGAUGGAAAUGCAAUACUUUGGGUGCUUGUGUUUUUCUACCUUGUAGCACGUUUCAACUCGAAAAAGCAUUAGGGAAAACAGAAGAUAGUUGUACAGAUAACUUUUAUGACAAGUAACUAAUUACCAGAAACAAACUUUGCUUA